ensembl:lncRNA
CGCACAGAAUACGCCAAUUGCAAGCUGAAAUGAGAAGCUCUCAAAUUUGAGUCUUUCUUCCUUUGAAACAUAAUAGGCAAUGCAAAAUUAAAAAAAAAAAACAAAAAACAACAAACCCAGCAACUUUUAUUAAAAGCACCACUAUUUAAAUAUUGUGAGCCUGAGGUUUAAUUUCAUCCAUAAGCUGCAGUGUCAUACUUUAUUGACCUCGAGUUGUUUCAUACUGCGUUUUUCUUCUACUUCUUUAUACUAAGAAGCACAUAUUUGUAAGCCACUAGCUUACUUGCUAAUGCAACAUUUUCACUGUAUUUCAAGUGGGAAGCAAAUCUAUUUGUUAUAGGAUUUUAUUUUUCAUAGGGAUUUUUCCAUCAGUGUUGCUUUGCAGGUACCUUUUGUCUGAUAUUAGCAUUUAGGAUGGGGCCGGCUGCUUCGCUGACAUUCACUGAACCUGGAAAGUAAAGUGGGAAAGAGUAAGAGAGGACAGUAGAAACAGAAAAGCCUUGCAUAUAGGUGAUGGCUACUUGUCUUUCAGCAGCAUCAUUAUGCCCUAAAAAAACUGUGUCUCUGUUUGAGAUUUCACUCUCGUUUUGAUGAUUUUGUGGCUCAGUGGACACAAUAAUAAUAAUAAUAAUAAUAAUAAUAAUAAUAAUAAUAAUAAUAAUAAUAAUAAUAGUAUUUUUUUGCUCGUAUAGCAAAAAUGUGCAGACCUUCUCAGAAAUGCAGUGGUCUCAUACAUUUAUAGUUCCAGAAGUUGAAUUGUCAGAAAAUAUAUUUUAGGAUACUGUGCAGUGAUCCAAAUAGUGCACACAGAGGGGACAUGAGUCAAGCUCAUAUUUUCUCUAUGCAUUUUAUAAUCUAGGAAGAUAUAAAUCAGCAUUUUGUUACUGUAAAUGGUAGCUGUGAAGUGAGUUUCUUGAUCAGGUAAUUGAUGAAUUCUUAAAAAUGAAGACAUCAAAUGAGUGUGAUUGUAUUAACAAAUUGGUCGAUUCUCAAGAAAUAUUCUGUCUAUGUCAGGUAUAUAUAUUCACAUUAUGGAAGACUUCCUACACAGUGAAUAAAUAAUAUUAGUCUGAACUCGAGGAAUCGCAUUAAAAACAUCGCAUUUCACAAUGUACCAAAGAGCUAAAAUUACACCCGUGCUUCCCCUCCUUCAUCAGCUGAUUCAUCUCAGUCUUCAAGAACAGAAGCAGGAGCACAUCUGUAUGUGACACAAUAAAAUGCAGAAAUUGAGACUACUGGUAGAAGGUGAUUUUGGGGUAAUUACUGUUUGCCUUUAGCCCACUCCGUGGAGAUGAAUGAGUUUGUUACUAACCAAACGUUCCUCAGGAUUAUGUGUAGGCCUGCAUUCCUCGCACGGCUCGUGAGAUGAGUUUUGGAUGACACAAAGGGUUACUGGGACGAGAAAGCAUCUUAACAGGAAGCCUGCUGCAGCGUGCCACGGCUCUCAAACAAAAGAGACAACUUCCUUUCCAGCAGGGGAAGAAAUUCAUUCAGGACUUCUGAAAUUUUCAGCGUGGGCAACUAGGGCUUAACUCACACGGUGAAGAUGAAGAGUGCACCAGGAGCCGACAGCACGAGAUGUCUUAGAUAAAGUUCUGUGACCAGGGCUGGCAACGCACCAACCUAAUUCAGCUAAGAGACAUACCCAAUAAGAACUGUCUGCUGUGCCUGGGGAAGAAGAAAUAACAAGCUAAUUUAUCAAUGAGUUUAGGUGAGCAUCAAGAUCCAGUGCCACCAUGCCCGCUGCAGCCUGAAUCUUCCUGCUCCUGCCUCCAAGUGCCUUCUCAGUCCUGGCUCGUAUGUUACAACAUUUCAUUAAGUUAAUUGUAACUUAAUACAUCUUGCAGUGAGCAGGCUCCCAGCACACAAAAACAUAAUUGACUUGCAUGGACUCACUGCUAUGAUGAACCCUGAAUAAAGGGCAUGAAGUUCCUUCCUCUGAUCAGUCUCACCAAGCUUUUCUCAUCAUUUAACUAGGUCUCCUGCUACCACAGCUUGCAAGACUUGCAAGUCUUGCAAGUGCUGACCUUUCUCCAGGGAGCAGUCCAACCUUGGAAGUCACCACAUUUGGGGUUGCUCAUCCACACUCUGCAAUGCACCCCUUGCUCCCCAGUCUGCACUGAGAGCUGCUUGCCCUUCUCCCUGUUAGUCCUUUUCUUCUGGAAACAUAUCUUCAGGAAGCAGUGGUCUUUAUUGGGACUUCAGUGCAAGAAUGGGGGGGUCUGGGGCACUUCUGCAAGCUACAGUAAGGCAAAAUUUCCCUUCCUGUUGUCUGCUCCCUGCAUGCCCACCAUCCCAAGUUAAGCACUGAUGCCAUCAGCAAUCAGAGCAGCGUCAAGAGCUGCAGCCUCACAUCCCAACAGAAAACCCUUUUGGAGUAGGACUUUAUUCAACCCUCACUAUGUUAUCUCUCUUUUGGUUUUGUUUUGCUUCUGUUAAGUCUUUGUGAUAGCAGGAAUCCAGGUUCUUCUUUUAGGACAUUUC